AAAAAAAAGUUCAGCAAAAAAGAUCAAUGCUUCGACCUUACGAUCUUUAUCAAGGUCUUGAUAAAGACCGUAAGGUCGAAGCAUUGAUCUUUUUUGCUGAACUUUUUUUUUG